AUGACACUGCAGAAAGACAAAAAGCCUAAGAAUUCAACCUGGAGGUUUCAUUUGGAACUUACUCAUCCAGUAGAAGAUGGAAUUUUUGAUUCUGGAAAUUUUGAACAGUUUCUAUGGGAGAAGGUUAAAGUCAAUGGAAAAACUGGAAAUCUUGGAAAUGUUCAUAUUGAACACUUGAAGAAUAAAAUCACAGUUGUUUUUGAGAAACAGUCCUCUAAAAGGUAUUUGAAAUAUCUUACCAAUAAAUAUAUUAAGAAGAAUAAUCUCCGUGAUUGGCUUUGUGUGGUCACAUCUGACAAGGAGACUUAUAAACUUUGUUAUUUCCAGAUUAGUCAAGAUGAAGAUGAUUCAGAGUCUGAGGACUAA
rnacentral:lncRNA from 1 species